AUUGAACGCUGGCGGCACGCUUUACACAUGCAAGUCGAGCGGUCAAAAUGAGGGGGCUUGCCCCCGAAAGACGAGCGGCGGACGGGUGAGUAACGCAUGGGAAUGCGCCCAGUAGUGGGGGACAACCCUGGGAAACCAGGGCUAAUACCGCAUGUUUUCCACGGAACAAAGCGGGGGACUUCUUCGGAAACCUCGCGCUAUUGGAGCAGCCCAUGUCCGAUUAGCUUGUUGGCGGGGUAACGGCCCACCAAGGCGACGAUCGGUAGCUGGUCUGAGAGGAUGAUCAGCCACACCGGGACUGAGACACGGCCCGGACUCCUACGGGAGGCAGCAGUGGGGAAUAUUGGACAAUGGGGGCAACCCUGAUCCAGCGAUGCCGCGUGAGUGAAGAAGGCCUUCGGGUUGUAAAGCUCUUUCGCAGGGAAAGAAAAAACGCGGGCGAACAGGCCGCGUCCAUGACGGUACCCUGAGAAGAAGCGCCGGCUAACUUCGUGCCAGCAGCCGCGGUAAUACGGGGGGCGCAAGCGUUAAUCGGAAUUACUGGGCGUAAAGCGUGCGUAGGCGGCCGAGCAAGUCAGAUGUGAAAGCCCCGGGCUCAACCCGGGAAUUGCGUCCGAAACUGCCCGGCUAGAGUUCGGCAGAGGAAGGUGGAAUUCCGCGUGUAGCGGUGAAAUGCGUAGAGAUGCGGAAGAACACUAAUGGCGAAGGCAUCCUUCUGGGCCGACACUGACGCUGAGUCACGAAAGCGUGGGGAGCAAACAGGAUUAGAUACCCUGGUAGUCCACGCUGUAAACGAUGUCAACUAGCCGUUGGAAGGGUAAUCCUUUUAGUGGCGUAGCUAACGCGCUAAG
rnacentral:rRNA from 1 species